ensembl:lncRNA
AGAGACUUGCAGCUGUCUGGCUUAAAGACAAUGCCACUUUUCUUCACUUGACCAAGAUGAAAUUCAGUCCCACUCCAGGCGAUGAAGGUGAUCUGGAGGCCGUCAAAAAUCUUGAGUUUCCACCGUUACUUGUGCACCACUGAAACAAGACCACAUUUCAAUGAAGGCCAGGAGAUUCCCAAAGGACCCGACGGACAUCACUCAAGCCUAUCACAGGAAAAACGUGUCCUCACACCUGCUUGAAUCCUUUUUAUAUUUUGACGUUCAUAUCUGUCUCUCCUUGACCAAAAAACCUUGCCGCUUUAGAUUAAAACGAAAAGUGCCGGUAAAGUGUCAGUAUUCACACAAAUACAAAACACCAGAGACAUUAGACAUCCAGAAAGGAAAUGUAUUGAUUUUAUUGUAGUUGAUUUA